rnacentral:rRNA from 1 species
GGACGAACGCUGGCGGCGUGCCUAACACAUGCAAGUCGAGCGGAGUUAACAAGAGGAAGUUUCGGAUGGAAUUUGUAAUUAGCGGCGGACGGGUGAGUAACGCGUGAGCGACCAACCUUGCACAGGGGGAUAACGGACCGAAAGGUUCACUAAUACCGCAUGAGACCACGGUGUUGCAUGACACAGAGGUCAAAGGAGCAAUCCGGUGCAAGACGGGCUCGCGUCCGAUUAGGUAGUUGGUGGGGUAAUGGCCCACCAAGCCUAUGAUCGGUAGCCGACCUGAGAGGGUGAUCGGCCACAUUGGAACUGAGAUACGGUCCAAACUCCUACGGGAGGCAGCAGUGGGGAAUAUUGGGCAAUGGGGGGAAAAACCCCCUGACCCAGCAACGCCGCGUGAAGGAAGAAGGUUUUCGGAUUGUAAACUUCUGUCCUUGGUGAAGAGAAGAAGACGGUAGCCAAGGAGGAAGCCCCGGCUAACUACGUGCCAGCAGCCGC